UUUUCAGAGAUAUGAGUGACUGCUGGAAGACAAAGCUGGUUUCACAACAUCCAGCUUCUGUUUCUCAUUUCACCAAAGGCCUUUAACGUGAUCUUGGAUGGAAUACGACAUUUCAGAUGUCCAAAGAGUUAGCUCUGACAGUCUCUGGAGGAAUUUGAGAAGUGUGAAGGUUGGAAAUGAAUCAGUUAUGCAUCAGCUACAUUUCAUACUCUUGUCCUGAGAGUAAAGCAGUUAUGGGCUGGGCUCCUUGUUCCAGAAUGACAGUGAUGUGUUCCAAAUAUACAGUGGAGACAUCCUGGGAAUGCUUAUGAAGAGCUCAGUGCAAACCUCAUCCCACCACACAUACCCACCGUUGCAAAGGGAAAAGG